rnacentral:rRNA from 1 species
GAUGAACGCUGGCGGCGUGCCUAAUACAUGCAAGUCGAGCGAACAGACGAGGAGCUUGCUCCUCUGACGUUAGCGGCGGACGGGUGAGUAACACGUGGAUAACCUACCUAUAAGACUGGGAUAACUUCGGGAAACCGGAGCUAAUACCGGAUAAUAUAUUGAACCGCAUGGUUCAAUAGUGAAAGACGGUUUUGCUGUCACUUAUAGAUGGAUCCGCGCCGCAUUAGCUAGUUGGUAAGGUAACGGCUUACCAAGGCAACGAUGCGUAGCCGACCUGAGAGGGUGAUCGGCCACACUGGAACUGAGACACGGUCCAGACUCCUACGGGGGGCAGCAGUAGGGAAUCUUCCGCAAUGGGCGAAAGCUUGACGGAGCAACGCCGCGUGAGUGAUGAAGGUCUUCGGAUCGUAAAACUCUGUUAUUAGGGAAGAACAAAUGUGUAAGUAACUAUGCACGUAUUGACGGUACCUAAUCAGAAAGCCACGGCUAACUACGUG